UACGAAGGGGGCUAGCGUUGCUCGGAAUUACUGGGCGUAAAGCGCACGUAGGCGGAUUGUUAAGUCGGGGGUGAAAUCCUGGAGCUCAACUCCAGAACUGCCUUCGAUACUGGCGAUCUCGAGUUCGGGAGAGGUGAGUGGAACUGCGAGUGUAGAGGUGAAAUUCGUAGAUAUCAGGAGGAACACCGGUGGUGUAGACGGCUCACUGGACCGUAACUGACGCUGAGACACGAAAGCGUGGGUAGCAACAGAUGAUGAAACCCA
rnacentral:rRNA from 1 species